UUUGGCCGCCCAUUUUGGGGWGMGAGAUCCCCCCCCAGCYCMUGRGAUGAUGCCCCCCAUUUUUUUCCGYGAAAAUGACUCCCCCAGCWKCUUGKRAGAUGGCCCAGAUCGUUUACCGUGAAAAAAUUAGAGUGUUCAAAGCGGGCAGAAACUUUUUCCUGCCACCGAAUACAUUAGCAUGGGAUAAUGGAAUAGGACCCUGACCUCCUAUUUUCAGUUGGUUUUGUUUACAGUGAGGUUCAUCAGGGUAAUGAUUAAUAGGGAUAGUUGGGGGCAUUAAUAUUUAAUUGUCAGAGGUGAAAUUCUUGGAUUUAUGAAAGAUUAACUUCUGCGAAAGCGUUUGCCAAGGAUGUUUUCAUUAAUCAAGAACGAAAGUUAGGGGAUCGAAGACGAUCAGAUACCGUCGUAGUCUUAMCCAUAAACGGAGUUAAUCCGUAC
rnacentral:rRNA from 1 species